rnacentral:rRNA from 1 species
GACGAACGCUGGCGGCGUGCUUAACACAUGCAAGUCGAACGGAAAGGCCCUGCUUGUGUGGGGUUCUCGAGUGGCGAACGGGUGAGUAACAUGUGAGUAACCUGCCCUUUACUUUGGGAUAACUUCAGGAAAGUGGGGCUAAUACCGGAUAGGAGCUCCUGCUGCAUGGUGGGGGUUGGAACGUUUCGGCGGUUGGGGAUGGACUCGCGGCUUAUCAGCUUGUUGGUGGGGUAGUGGCUUACCACGGCUUUGACGGGUAGCCGGACUGGGAGGGUGACAGGGCCCAUACGCACUGGGGAGGGAGCAGUGGUGAAUAGUGAACAAGGGGCGAAAGACUUUGCCAGCCGGGCGGAGGCGUUGAGGAAGGACGCCGGGUGCUAAAUGACGUCUUUCGGGUAGUAAACCCAUUUCGCUUGUAACGAGCUGUGAGUGAGGGUAAUAGAUAAUAAGGAACGGGUUACUUCCUU